rnacentral:lncRNA from 1 species
GUUGUUUGAAUGAGGAAGUGAGUGCGUAUGACGUUUUCUGAAAUUGGGUUUUUGUGUCAUUGUGUCUUCUUUUUACAGGAAGGAGACAAAAAGCCGGGAAUGGAGCCAAAAGAAACCAGGACUGAUGUGAUGGAAAGUAUCCCACAAGAGCCACCAAAUCUUGACCAUUUUACCUCUGUUGAUGGAGCACACAGAGAGAAUAGAAGUGGUGUGUUGUCAGCGUCAGGAUUAGAGGAGGAAGAUAUUGCAUCAUCUUUGGAUACUGAGAAGAGAAAAUGUGCAUAAUAAGGCCUGGCACAUUUGGGUGGCUA